UGGGAAUUUUGGACAAUUGGGGGCAACCUGAUCCAGCCAUCCCGCGUGUGCGAUGAAGGCCUUCGGGUUGUAAAGCACUUUUGGCAGGGAAGAAACAGCCUGGGAUAAUACCCCGGCGACUGACGGUACCUGCAGAAUAAGCACCGGCUAACUACGUGCCAGCAGCCGCGGUAAUACGUAGGGUGCAAGCGUUAAUCGGAAUUACUGGGCGUAAAGCGUGCGCAGGCGGUUCGGAAAAGAAAGGUGUGAAAUCCCAGGGCUUAACCUUGGAACUGCACUUUUAACUACCGAGCUAGAGUACGUCAGAGGGGGGUAGAAUUCCACGUGUAGCAGUGAAAUGCGUAGAGAUGUGGAGGAAUACCGAUGGCGAAGGCAGCCCCCUGGGAUGAUACUGACGCUCAUGCACGAAAGCGUGGGGAGCAAACAGGAUUUAGAUACCCCUUGGGUAGUCCACGCCCUAAACGAUGUCAACUAGCUGUU
rnacentral:rRNA from 1 species